UCUCUAAGUCGUUGUUCACCACGUAUUGUUUUUAAGACUUUUUCACAUUGUUGUCAAUCGUGCACUGCUUCAUCGCGCGGCAAGUCCGAUUGCGCGCGCACGAUCUUGCGUCAUCUUUGCAUUUCUCUAAGUCGUUGUUCACCACGUAUUGUUUUUAAGACUUUUUCACAUUGUUGUCAAUCGUGCACUGCUUCAUCGCGCGGCAAGUCCGAUUGCGCGCGCACGAUCUUGCGUCAUCUUUGCAUUUCUCUAAGUCGUUGUUCACCACGUAUUGUUUUCAAGACUUUUUCACAUUGUUGUCAAUCUUCAAAAGGGAUGAACAUUAAACGCUCAUCCUCAUGAACAACGAGGGAAGGUCAUGAAAACAGAACAUUGUUAAUUUGCCUUAAUAAACCGCUCUUCCUGUAGUUUUUUUUUUUUACGAAACAUUUAUUUACCGUCAAUAGUGUUGUUCCCAAGUCUGAUAUUUUCCAGCGUGACGAAUUGCUUUCCCGGAUGACGUUGGGUGCAUGCAUGCGCGCUCACGAGCAAUUGCGCACACUAGAAGCUUCGAAAUUUUUUUGUCAGGUGGUGGAGUCGAUGCAAGUCGAGUUUAUGAACAUGAAGGAAGCUCGUGAAAACCCUACGGAAGAUAUGCAAGCUGCAUACAACAUCCAGACGAAAAAGAUGGAUCCAAUGGCAUCAUAUAGCAUUGGUAAUGCAAGAGUUCUAAAUAGUAAUUUUGCGAGUGUUAUAAGGCAGACAUCAAAGGUCUUUCUUCUAUUAACAAAGAAAUAAAGAAUCAUUUCAUCAAACUUAUUUAUCAUCAAUAUGGAUAGGCUGAAAUCCUGGUAUGCAUAUGUGGCUUUGGUGGUUAUUACUUUAAACUGUUGUUUUAAUCCAAAAAACAAUUAGCUAUAAGUUUAUAAAAGGUAUUUGCUAUUGCAGUGAAUUGAAUCACUUUUCUCUCUUCAGCCAUCUGCAACAGGCAAUCUUUUUUUAAUAAUUUUAUUAUCAAUAAUUAAGUAUAAUUCUUAAGUCAGAUGUAAACUGAAACAAAGUUCCUUUGAUGUAUUUUGAAA